rnacentral:rRNA from 1 species
GAAUUGUUCGCAAUGGGCGCAAGCCUGACGACGCAACGCCGCGUGGAGGAUGAAGGUCUUCGGAUUGUAAACUCCUGUUGCCCGGGACGAAAAGCUCCGACCUAACACGUUGGAGUCUGACGGUACCGGGUGAGGAAGCCCCGGCUACCUCUGUGCCAGCAGCCGCGGUAAUACAGAGGGGGCGAGCGUUGUUCGGAAUUACUGGGCGUAAAGGGCGCGUAGGCGGCCACCGCAAGUCGACUGUGAAAUCUCCGGGCUUAACCCGGAAAGGUCAGCCGAUACUGCGGGGCUAGAGUGCAGAAGGGGCAACUGGAAUUCUCGGUGUAGCGGUGAAAUGCGUAGAUAUCGAGAGGAACACCUGCGGCGAAGGCGGGUUGCUGGGCUGACACUGACGCUGAGGCGCGAAAGCUAGGGGAGCGAACGGG